rnacentral:rRNA from 1 species
UACGAAGGGGCGAGCGUUGUUCGGAAUUACUGGGCGUAAAGGGCGCGCAGGCGGCCUUAGAAGUCAGAUGUGAAAGCCCCGGGCUCAACCUGGGAAUGGCAUUUGAUACUCUGAGGCUGGAGUACGGGAGAGGAGAGUGGAAUUCCCAGUGUAGAGGUGAAAUUCGUAGAUAUUGGGAAGAACACCGGUGGCGAAGGCGGCUCUCUGGACCGUAACUGACGCUGAGGCGCGAAAGCGUGGGGAGCAAACAGG